UUAUUUUGAUCUAAAUGAUCCCGAAAUUGAAAAGCACUACAUAUGAACUCUGAAUAGGUUGAAAGUUGACAUGAUAUCAUCAUUUCACCCACAUAGCAUGUGCUAAAAAGUUAAGAGGGUUACGGAAAACACUGGAUGCACUUCGUGUAUAAAAUGAACAAUCUAUUUCGAAAUAUCACGGUUUCGGACGAAAACUUAUCUGUUACAAAGGGAUUUCAUUUUUUUGAACUUAUUUCAACUCCAGACUUAUUGUGCAUUCAGCAUGCACCAAUCAAAGCCACAUCAUCAAUUUUCAACCAUUUCUGACUUCAUUAGGUAUUUUUCAUGCAUUUAUUGAUUAUUUUGAUCUAAAUGACCCUGAAAUUGAAAAGAACUACAAAUGAACUCUGAAUAGGUUGAAAGUUGGCAUGAUAUCAUCAUUUCAUCCACAUAGCAUGUGCUAAAAAGUUGGGAGGGUUACGGCAAAAACUAGAUGCACUUCGUGUACAAAAUGAACAAUCUCUUUCGGAGUAUUAGGGUUUCAGACGAAAACUCAUGUGUUACAAAGGGAUUUCAUUUUUUAAAACUUAUUUCAACUUCACACUUUUUGUGUAUUCAACAUGCACCAUUUAAAGUCACAUCAUCAAUUUUCAACCAUUUCUAGCUUUAUUUGUUAUUUUUUGCAUGCAUUUACUGAUUAUUUUGAGCUAAAUGACCCUAAAAUUGAAAAAGGAACAGAAGACUCACCUUUUGUCCCGGUUUUAGACACGAAACGGAACUAAAGGCACUGCGCCAAGAGGGAGGACCAUUGGUUCCGGUUCCUGUCUGAAACCGGGACCAAAGGGGUCAGACGAACCGAGACCCUGACCAGGCCGGCGCCCUGGACUCACGAACCGGACUUAUGCAUCCAUUGGUCCCGUUCGUAACAGAACCAGAAUUAAAGCCCUUCUCUCGCGUGGACCGAAGUCAUGCUUUUACUAGUGCCAACAUCACCUUUUGAUCCUCCACUACAAAAUAUAAGCGUUAUUCACAAACAAAAUGGUCCCCAGCUUGCGGGAGAAGGAAAGAUAGGAAGUUGGGGAGGGUACCAUGACUCUUUCCUGGCAACGGCGAGUAGGUAUUUUCGCCUCUGUUGUGUUCCAGCCGGACGGCCAUGGACAGCAUGGUGUCGGGUGUUCUGUCCCCGGGUGGCUCGGGGGAACAACUCACCAUAGUCAUCGUUGAGGAGCGCCUACUCAUACACCUCCAUGGCCAGCGCUUCGCUUGCUGAGGUCAUGUUAGAGCGAGUUUGGGAUGGUGGGGUAGAAGAAAAGGAGAUGCGGUCGCAACGGCAGAGUGGGGCAGAAGCAGAGCUCAUUACGGCAUGCAUGCACGCACAUGGAGCUCCAUGUCGCGGCGGGAUAGCCGCGCAACCGUACUCACGUCGUAGUCUUAAUCGAUCAACCUCGCAGAUAUGAG
rnacentral:lncRNA from 1 species